rnacentral:rRNA from 1 species
UACAGAGGUCCCAAGCGUUGUUCGGAUUCACUGGGCGUAAAGGGUGCGUAGGUGGCGGGGUAAGUUUGAUGUGAAAUCUCCGGGCUUAACCCGGAAACUGCAUUGAAUACUAUUCUGCUCGAGGUUUGGAGGGGGGACUGGAAUUCGUCGGUGUAGCAGUGAAAUGCGUAGAUAUCGAGAGGAACACCAGUGGCGAAGGCGGAGUCC